CUGGAGUAUGACAUUAAUGAAUCGCACGUCACGUUUCACCAGCCUACUACUACUAAACGCCUCUUCUGUGCGCGGUAGUCUGGUGGGCGACGUUUUGCGAUAAGUCAUCUUCCGGUCACGAAUCAAACCCGCGCCAUUGCGCGGGUUUUUUU
rfam:Trabulsiella guamensis ATCC 49490 GTGT.assembly.059, whole genome shotgun sequence.